rnacentral:rRNA from 1 species
GACGAACGCUGGCGGCGUGCUUAACACAUGCAAGUCGAGCGGAGCGGCGCACGGGUGAGUAACGCGGGAGUAACUGCCCUCCUCUCUGGGAUAAAAGUUGGAAACGGCUGCUUAUUCCGGAUUGUGGGGGAUGAAUCGCGUCCUAUCAGUUUUUUGGUGGGGUAGUGGCUUACCAAGGCGACGACGGGUAGCCGGCCUGAGAGGGCGACCGGCCACAUUGAGCUCCCAUACUACCACAACUCCUACAAUGGGCAGCGUUGGGGAUUAUUGCACAAUGGGGGCAACCGUGAUGCAGACACGCCGCGUGCUUGAUGACGGCCUUCGUGUGGUAAACCGCUUUCAGCCAUGACGCGGUAGUGUCAGAAGAAGCACCGGCUAACUACGUGCCAGCAGCCGCGGUAAUUC